rnacentral:lncRNA from 1 species
AGACUGGAUCUCUGGAUACCAGCAUCGACCACACAACACUGGCAGGGACACAGGCCAUGUAUGCCCAGGGAAACAUAAUCCAGCAGUGGAGAGAUAAGCAACGGAGGGGCACUGGUGCUGAGCCAGGAGAGAUAUCAAGGAUAAACUACUGAGGUGGACCUUGGGCUCCAAUACGAGUUCAAAGGCAGGGGGUCUUCAUCAACCAGAGUUAUUGUGGCUGUAUAAAUGGAAUAAAGAAAGGGUAAGAAUAAAUAAGAGUAGUAAUAUUAAUACAUUGACUACUU